rnacentral:rRNA from 1 species
CCAGUAGUCAUAUGCUUGUCUCAAAGAUUAAGCCAUGCAAGUCUAAGUAUAAGCUUUAUACUGUGAAACUGCGAAUGGCUCAUUAAAUCAGUUAUAGUUUAUUUGAUGGUGUUUUCUACUCGGAUAACCGUAGGAAAACUAGAGCUAAUACCUGCGUAAAUCCCGACUUCGGAAGGGACGUAUUUAUUAGAUAAGAGGCCGACCGGGCUUGUCCCGACCUUCGGUGAAUCAUGAUAACUUCACGAAUCGCAUGGUCUUGAACCGGCGAUGUUUCAUUCAAAUUUCUGCCCUAUCAACUUUCGACGGUAGGGUAGUGGCCUACCGUGGUGGUAACGGGUGACGGAGGAUUAGGGUUCGAUUCCGGAGAGGGAGCCUGAGAAACGGCUACCACACCCAAGGAAGGCAGCAGGCCCGCAAAUUACCCAAAUCCCAACUCGAGGAGGUAGUGACAAGAAAUAACGAUGCUCCGGCCUUUGGUCGGGUAAUCGGAAUGAGAACAAUUUAAAUCCCUUAUCGAGGAUCAAUUGGAGGGCAAGUCUGGUGCCAGCAGCCGCGGUAAUUCCAGCUCCAAUAGCGUAUAUUUAAGUUGCUGCGGUUAAAAAGCUCGUAGUCGGAUUUCGGGUGGCGCCUACCGGUCCGCCUUUGGUGAGUACUGGUAGGUACCUCCUUUCUGCCGAGGACGGGGUUCUGGGCUUAGUUGUCUGGGCCCCGGAGUCGGCGAUGUCACUUUGAGUAAAUUAGGGUGUUCAAAGCAGGCUUAUGCUCUGUAUACACUAGCAUGGGAUGACACGAUAGGACUUCGGCUUAUCUUGUCGGUCUGUAGGUCGGAGUAAUGAUGAAGAGGGACAGUCGGGGGCAUUCGUAUUUCGUAGUCAGAGGUGAAAUUCUUGGAUUUACGGAAGACGAACUUCUGCGAAAGCAUUUGCCAAGGAUGUUUUCAUUGAUCAAGAACGAAAGUCGGGGGCUCGAAGACGAUUAGAUACCGUCGUAGUCUCCACCAUAAACGAUGCCGACUAGGGAUCGGAGGUGGUUUUUUUAUGACCUCUCCGGCACCUUACGAGAAAUCAAAGUUUCUGGGUUCCGGGGGGAGUAUGGUCGCAAGGCUGAAACUUAAAGGAAUUGACGGA